GCUGCGCCAUUGGCCUCAGGAGUGAGCUGACUUGGGAGGCUGCGCCAUUGGCCUCAAGGAGUGAGCAGGACAUGGGAGGCUGCGCCAUUGGCCUCAGGAGUGAGCAGGCCUUGGGAGGCUGCGCCAUUGGCCUCAGGUGUGAGCAGGACUUGGGAGGCUGCGCCAUUGGCCUCAAGGAGUGAGCAGGACUUGGGAGGCUGCGCCAUUGGCCUCAAGGAGUGAGCAGGACUUGGGAGGCUGCGCCAUUGGCCUCAAGGAGGGAGCAGGACUUGGGAGGCUACGCCAUUGGCCUCAGGAUUGAGCAGGACUUGGGAGGCUGCGCCAUUGGCCUCAGGAUUGAGCAGGACUUGGGAGGCUGCGCCAUUGCCCUCAAGGAUUGAGCAGGACUUGAGAGGCUGUGCCAUUGGCCUCAGGAGUGAGCAGGACUUGGGAGGCUGCGCCAUUGGCCUUAGGAGUGAGCAGGACUUGGGAGGCUGCGCCAUUGGCCUCAGGAUUGAGCAGGACUUGGGAGGCUGCGCUAUUGGCCUCAGGACUGAGCAGGACUUGUGAGGCUGUGCCAUUGGCCUCAAGGAGUGAGCAGGACUUGUGAGGCUGCGCCAUUGGCCUCAAGGAGUGAGCAGGACUUGGGAGGCUGCGCCAUUGGCCCCAGGAUUGACCAGGACUUGGGAGGCUGUGCCAUUGGCCUCAGGAGUGAGCAGGACUUGGGAGGCUGCACCAUUGGCCUCAGGAGUGAGCAGGACUUGGGAGGCUGCGCCAUUGGCCUCAGGAUUGAGCAAGACUUGGGAGGCUGCGCCAUUGGCCUCAAGGAGUGAGCAGGACUUGUGAGGCUGUGCCAUUGGCCUCAAGGAGUGAGCAGGACUUGGGAGGCUGCGCCAUUGGCCUCAAGGAGUGAGCAGGACUUGGGAGGCUGCGCCAUUGGCCUCAGGAUUGAGCAGGACUUGGGAGGCUGCGCCAUUGGCCUCAAGGAUUGAUCAGGACUUGGGAGGCUGCGCCAUUGGCCUCAGGAGUGAGC
ensembl:lncRNA